rnacentral:rRNA from 1 species
UACGUAGGCAGCGAGCGUUGUUCGGAGUUACUGGGCGUAAAGGUGUGUAGGCGGUUGCUUAAGUUUGGUGUGAAAUCUCCCGGCUCAACCGGGAGGGUGCGCCGAAUACUGGGUGACUAGAGUGCGGGAGAGGAAAGUGGAAUUCCUGGUGUAGCGGUGAAAUGCGUAGAUAUCAGGAGGAACACCGGUGGUGUAGACGGCUUUCUGGACCGUAACUGACGCUGAGACACGAAAGCGUGGGUAGCAAAACAGG